rnacentral:rRNA from 1 species
UACGAAGGGGGCUAGCGUUGCUCGGAAUCACUGGGCGUAAAGGGUGCGUAGGCGGGUUUUUAAGUCAGGGGUGAAAUCCUGGAGCUCAACUCCAGAACUGCCUUUGAUACUGAAGAUCUUGAGUCCGGGAGAGGUGAGUGGAACUGCGAGUGUAGAGGUGAAAUUCGUAGAUAUUCGCAAGAACACCAGUGGCGAAGGCGGCUCACUGGCCCGGUACUGACGCUGAGGCACGAAAGCGUGGG